CUGAGGGAGCGCGGCCCUGCGUCUCAGAGAUCCCUGAGAUGGGGGCGCAGCUGCCUGACGCCCUCGCCCGCCGGCAGGAGACCACGCCCCCACCCCGGAAGCUAUUUCUACAGCUUCCGGCUUUGGUUCCCCUCAGUCCGCUCCCAUCUCCGGCAUGAAUCUCACGUGUCUGCGGGCAGAGGCUGCGACAGGCCGCACGACGGCAGGGCCUGCAUCUCUCCCGGCCCCGCUAACAAGAGAACAGAAGUGGCCAGAAGGAGUCACGUCGUUUCUUUUGUUUACUCUGUAUCUUCAGAACCUGCGCUGUGCCUGGAAUGCCAUAGGCACUCAGAGCCCUCCUGGUUGCAUCAUCUGCCCUGGGCUAGAAUUGAGUGCACCUCCUUUCUGGUCCUCAACAAGACUCCAGAGGCUCUGGGCCCAAACCCCCAGUUCAGCUUGGAGGCAGGUAGAAGUGGGGGGACCUGCUCCCAGCACCUGGCCAGUUCUGGCUCCCUGCCUCCCAUUGUGCACUUCCUGGCACCUUUGAGCUAACACCGAGGCCUGCAGAUGAUUGCCAGCCGUUACUCGCAAAGUCUCCAGCCCCGCCCUGGACCCACAGAACCAGAGUCUACCUUUUAGAAAAAUCCCAGGGUCAUUCAAGUGCUGCUUCCAGUUUGAGAAGUGCUGGUGAACCUGCUCAAAUGCCUCCUUCUCCCAGGCUAAGGAAAAUACUUUGCUGAGACCAUCUUGAUUUCUUUUUGUCUCUGCAGUUAUUGAAACAGACAGCGCGUGCGGCUGAGGGGGGACGGGACUUAGCGUUACUGCGCGGAAACAGUGAAGGGCAAACCCAGCAAUUAGCGGCAGAGAGUGGGGAGGCGAGGCAGGCAGGAUGGAGAGCCAGGGAAACAGCGACCAUAAUUGCAG
ensembl:lncRNA